CAGCCGCCGCGGUAAUACGUAGGUGGCAAGCGUUGUCCGGAAUUAUUGGGCGUAAAGCGCGCGCAGGCGGUCCCUUAAGUCUGAUGUGAAAGCCCACGGCUCAACCGUGGAGGGUCAUUGGAAACUGGGGGACUUGAGUGCAGAAGAGGAAAGUGGAAUUCCACAUGUAGCGGUGAAAUGCGUAGAGAUGUGGAGGAACACCAGUGGCGAAGGCGACUUUCUGGUCUGUAACUGACGCUGAGGCGCGAAAGCGUGGGGAGCAAACAGGAUUAGAUACCCUGGUAGUCCACGCCGUAAACGAUGAGUGCUAAGUGUUAGGGGGUUUCCGCCCCUUAGUGCUGCAGCUAACGCAUUAAGCACUCCGCCUGGGGAGUACGGCCGCAAGGCUGAAACUUAAAGGAAUUGGCGGG
rnacentral:rRNA from 1 species